GGCAGUACUACAACACAUGAAAAUCAUUUAAAGUUAACCCUCUGCUUUGAAUAACAGUUAUGGGGAUGUUAAACAAACCAGAAUUCCUAGUUUAUAUUAGUAAUGAACAUUCCGCUUGCUAACAAAUAUACAGUAGCCAUACACAUCUAUGUAUCUCUCAUUACACAGAUAUGGACCACAUGACGGGGUGAGCAGUUCUGUUGGGGUCAAUGCACAUUUCAGGUACACCGCAAAGAACAAAGCUAGAGGCUGAAUGCCUGCACACACUUCAGAAGCAAGUACACAUUAACAUAUGAAAUAAUUAACAUGACAUUACAGCACAUAAAGCAAUGAAUAGCUUUAAUAUGUGGUGGUUUUUAAAAAAAUGUGUUUUAUCUUUUGAUUCUCUUAGCAUCCUUGUGAUAUCCUGAGAAAGGAAUAAAGGUUAGAGUUAUUAGCAAAGAUCAAAAUCAAGAAACUUGCAUUUAGAUCAGAAUUGUAUACAAUAACGAAAAUCUCCGUAGAUGUUGACUAAAUUAUUCAUCUAUUUUUUGCUUUUAAAAUGAUUUUAAAAGAAACUUUGAAAAUCAAAUCAACCCAAAUCAAAAGCAUAUAAAAUGUAUCACUACAAAAUAAUUUUAAAGGAAAAAGAUACAAUAAAUUAAACCAAAGAAUUUAAGAGGUCACGAUUUAUUCUGUAGAGCUAAAAAUAAAAUUAUUUCUUCCCUAUUGAAAAAUUUCUAGUACCAUAAAGCUGAAGUACAUAACUUUAAAGUCUGCAAAAUAAGACUGUUUAACGCUUACAUACUUUAUACGACAGAUUUCACAAAGGGAAAGAAGAAAGGUGAAAGUGACAAGUAUAAUUUUUCAAGAUGUGUUAAAAACGGUAAAAACUAACAUUCUUUUUUGAUAUUUAGUUCAUAUUUUCAGUCACAAUAUAACAUAUCCUAUAAUCAAUAUUUAAAACAAAAACAUUUAAACUAGAAAUCAUUUAUACUACUUUAAAUUUAUAACAAGAUAGCUUAAUUGUUUAAGCUUAAUUUGUUUACUUUUCAGUACAUUAAAUCCUAAUCUGGGAACGUCUUCUCUAACUCAACAUGUACGCUGUUGUUGUGUUGUUAGUUGCUGUCCACUCAAUUCUGACUCAUGGCCACCCGUGUGUGCAGAGUGGAACUGCUGCUGCACAGGGUCUUCAAGGCUGUCACCUUUCAGAAGCAGAGAGCCUAGCCUAAGGCAGCUAAUAGUUCCUAUAAUUUUCAGAGACAUGAGGGAACGUGGAAGACCAGAAAAAAAAAUGCAAUGAUGACAACAAAACUAAACACGCAGAAUCUAUGCCUGCCAUAGUCUCCAAGGUUUCCCAACCAAAAGAAAAGGCCAACCUGGAUCACAUACAGCAGCUGAGAGGAGCCUCACAAGCAAGUCUUGUACUUCACCCAUGCUGUCCCCUAUAUUUAGCAAUCCCUCUUGAAGAACACUCAGGUUGCUAUGAGCCGGAAUUUGAGAUAAUGCACUUAGGAAAUUUUAAACACCCAGAUGACUAAAGCUAGUAAGUAUACUUUCAUUUUUAUUCAAAAGCAUUUAUGCUAAGUAGAUAAAUGAAAUAUUAAUAUAAUUCAAUCUCUAGUAGGGUUAUUAAAAGUUUGCUUUAAGCAUCAUAGGAAAGAGUUUAUAUAAAUCAAGGGACAAUCACUAUUUGUAUCUGAGAUGAAUAUGGUCCAUAAGUAAAUAUGGAUGAUCUUGACCAAGCAUAACAAGUUAUUGCAACAGUAUAAUAGUGAUGAUUUGUGUUAUUAAUAUAAUUUUCUAGAAGUGCCAUUUUCUUGAAUAUAGUAAAAAUAACUGAUUUUUACUUAAAGUAUGGGAAAUCAUGCUGGUUGCCAGGAUUAUUUUGAUCUUUCUACAUUUCCACUUUUGUGUAUUUUUGCAGCCUUAUAUGUAUGUGAAACACUACAGAAGAGAAAACACAGAAGAAGUACUUAACUUGUUGGCGUUGAGUCAAUUCCAACUCGUAGCGACCCUAUAGGACAGAGUAGAACUGCCCCAUACGGUUUCAAAAGAGCACCUGGUGGAAUCAAACUGCUGGCCUUUUGGUCAGCAGCCAUAGCACUUAACUACUACGCCACCGGGGUUUCCAAGAAGUACUUUAGUUGUACACAAUUUCUUGGUUUUCAGGAUGAUACACAGUAUGGAUUCAGGAGUCCAACAAACCGGAGUUUGGAUCUAAAUUGCCAUUUAUUAGGUGGGUAAUCUUGGGAAAGUUCUUUAACCUCUUUGUGUCUCAGUUUUCUCAUCUGUAAAUGGAGAUAAAUACCAACUUCACAGGAAUGUGAUGAGAUCAAAUGAAAGACUCCAAAUAAAGCACUUAGCAUAGUACCUGGCAUGUAGUAAACAUGCUCAAAAAAAGGUUAGCUACUGUUAGUAAAGCACUGAGUGAGGUUAUAAACAAUAAAUCCUAAUUUAUUUAAAUAUACAUGGGGUGAGGGUGAGGAGGACUUAGGUCUUUCUGAGCCUGAAGGCCUGGGACAAACCAAAUGAAACAUGGAUAACCUAUCUACCUUUAUAAUUCUUCGUAGAUUUUUGCAGUAUUUCCAAUUAAAUUAGAAAGAUUCGUUAGUUAUAUAUUAAGAACUGCCAUUAUCAGUACAGGAGCUCUAGAGAGGUUUACUGGUGGGCCAUCCAGGAGAAGCACAUUGACCUAGGCUUGGAAAUUCAGUGCUCUAGUUAAAAACAAAAAGCUUUCAUAAUGGCAGCUCUGGCAAAGGAAUCAGGUGAGAACACAGGGAAAAUUAACAUUUUUUAAUGAAAUGAUUCCCACGAUACAUAGAUUACCUUUUGGUCUGCUAAGCACAUGUCUUCAUUAGGCUUCUUUAGUUCCUUUGCCAUUU